rnacentral:rRNA from 3 species
GGACUACACGGGUAUCUAAUCCCGUUUGCUCCCCUGGCUUUCGCGCCUCAGCGUCAGAUGAGGUCCAGCAGGACGCUUUCGCCACCGGCGUUCCUUCCGAUAUCAACGCAUUUCACCGCUCCACCGGAAGUUCCUCCUGCCCCUACCUCGCUCGAGCCUGUCAGUAUCGGGGGCCCUUUUCCGGUUGAGCCGAAAGAUUUCACCCCCGACUGGACAAGCCGCCUACGCGCCCUUUAAGCCCAGUGAUUCCGAACAACGUUCGCACGGUUCGUCUUACCGCGGCGGCUGGCAC